AACGAGAUCGGGGGGGCAACUCUCCGGUUGAGUGGCGGACGGGUGAGUAACACGUGGGUAACCUGCCCGGAAGUGUGGAAUACCUCGGGGAAACUCGAGCUAAUACCGCAUGACAUCUUUGGGACGAGAGUCCUGACGAUCAAAGCGGGGUCGCAAGACCUCGCGCUACCGGAUGGGCCCGCGCCCGAUUAGCUAGUUGGCGAGGUAACGGCUCACCAAGGCAACGAUCGGUAGCCGGCCUGAGAGGGUGAUCGGCCACACCGGAACUGAGACACGGUCCGGACUCCUACGGGAGGCAGCAGUGGGGAAUCUUGCGCAAUGGGCGAAAGCCUGACGCAGCAACGCCGCGUGGAGGAUGAAGGCCCUUGGGUUGUAAACUCCUGUCGGCUGGGAAGAAAUCGUUCGGGGCUAAUACCUCCGGACGUUGACUGUACCAGCAAAGGAAGCCCCGGCUAACUCUGUGCCAGCAGCCGCGGUAAUACAGAGGGGGCCAGCGUUAUUCGGAAUUAUUGGGCGUAAAGGGCGCGUAGGCGGCCACGCGUGUCUUUCGUGAAAUCCCUCGGCUUAACUGAGGACGUGCGGAAGAAACUGCGAGGCUCGAGUCCGGGAGAGGGGGGUGGAAUUCCCAGUGUAGCGGUGA
rnacentral:rRNA from 1 species